rnacentral:rRNA from 1 species
UUCUAUGGCUAUCCCACCCUGAACUUACCCAAUCUCCCCUGAACUUUGUAGCUAAGCAGAGUCAGACUUGGUUAACACUUGGAUGGGAGAUCAGGGUGAAAGCCUGACGGUGGAAGGCU